rnacentral:lncRNA from 10 species
CUCAUCCAGCCUCAUAAAGCUAUGAGGAUGGCUAUAACAUGACAUCACGGGAGCAAAGGCUUUCACUUUCUGGAGUGAAAAGAGAAAGGGAACAUGGACAUGCUCCUUGAAUGGUUAAUCACCCUGCCCCCCACUGAUGCCUGUGUGACCCAAGCUUUCCUCCUUCCUUGCUAGUCACUUGCCCCAAGACUUCUACACAUCAACUCCCCGCUCUGGAGUCUCCUCUGUUGUCAUAAACCAUUGGGUUGUCCAGAAUCUUGGCUCUCAAAACAUGGUCCAUGAACCAGCAGUAUUAGCAUCACCUAUGAAUUUGUGUCCAACUUAGACUACUGAGUCAUAAUCUUCAUUGUAACAUGAUAUGCAGAUGAUUUGUAAUUUGUAUGAACAUUAGAACGUUAAAGUUUGAGAAGGUCUGGCCUGAAAC